CCUACGGGGUGCAGCAGUGAGGAAUAUUGGUCAAUGGACGCAAGUCUGAACCAGCCAUGCCGCGUGCAGGAAGACGGCUCUAUGAGUUGUAAACUGCUUUUGUACGAGGGUAAACGCAGAUACGCGUAUCUGUCUGAAAGUAUCGUACUAAUAAGGAUCGGCUAGCUCCGUGCCAGCAGCCGCGGUAAUACGGAGGAUUCAAGCGUUAUCCGGAUUUAUUGGGUUUAAAGGUUGCUUAGGCGGUCGGAUAAGUUAGAGGUGAAAUCCCGAGGCUCAACUUCGGAAUUGCCUCUGAUACUGUUCGGCUAGAGAGUAGGUGCGGUAGGCGGAAUGUAUGGUGUAGCGGUGGAAUGCGUAGAGAUCAUACAGAACACCGAUUGCGAAGGCAGCUUACCAAGCUACUUCUGACGUUGAGGCACGAAAGCGUGGGGAGCAAACAGGAUUAGAUACCCUAGUAGUC
rnacentral:rRNA from 1 species